AGAAGAGGGUUGCGGGGUUCGGUGGAAGAAGAGGAGGAGGAGGAGGAGGAGGAGGGGGCUAAGAGCAGCCGCGAGGGGGCGCAAGGCAGACGCAGCGAGAGAGGAUAUUGACAUUUUCGGCCGUGGGGACGCGCAUUCGUGAGGGUGGCCAAGAGGGGUACGGGAUAGUCGGCUCUCCGUCCGAUCCUGCAGUAUCCAUGGCUACGCCGUCGGCGAGGAUUUGGCGCAAAACACCGGAAAUACCGUGUGCAUGACUACUACGUUUACGACGGUGGAGCCCGUACAAAGAGAAAAUCAGCUAGGGCGAUUUUCGACGGCAUCGACCACUUCGGAGAUCGUCAUUCGCCAAUCGACGUGAUCAUGCAACCACGAAGAAGCUGAUGAAUUUAGACGAUCGCAAUGAUGUGACAAUAAAGAUACCUCUUUCUAAUCUCGAUUAUUUCGGGGAAUUGUCCCUGUUAUACAAGUGCUUCCCAAACUCAUACCAUAAAGAGAACACGAAGAUCACUAAAAACCUCCGGAAAUGGUAUUUCGAAACUGGUGC